AACGAACGCUGGCGGCAUGCCUAACACAUGCAAGUCGAACGAGACCUUCGGGUCUAGUGGCGCACGGGUGCGUAACGCGUGGGAAUCUGCCCUUGGGUUCGGAAUAACAGUUGGAAACGACUGCUAAUACCGGAUGAUGACGUAAGUCCAAAGAUUUAUCGCCCAAGGAUGAGCCCGCGUAGGAUCAGCUAGUUGGUGAGGUAAAGGCUCACCAAGGCGACGAUCCUUAGCUGGUCUGAGAGGAUGAUCAGCCACACUGGGACUGAGACACGGCCCAGACUCCUACGGGAGGCAGCAGAGGGGAAUAUUGGACAAUGGGCGAAAGCCUGAUCCAGCAAUGCCGCGUGAGUGAUGAAGGCCUUAGGGUUGUAAAGCUCUUUUACCCGGGAUGAUAAUGACAGUACCGGGAGAAUAAGCUCCGGCUAACUCCGUG
rnacentral:rRNA from 1 species